GGUUGAUCCUGCCAGUAGUCAUACGCUUGUCUCAAAGAUUAAGCCAUGCAUGUCUAAGUUUAAAUAGUUUAAAGUGAAACUGCGAAAGGCUCAUUACAUCAGUUAUAGUUUAUUUGAUAGUCCUUACUACUUGGAUAACCGUAGUAAUUCUAGAGCUAAUACAUGCGCAAAUUCCCGACUUCUGGAAGGGAUGUAUUUAUUAGAUACAACCAACCCCUUUGGGUUCUUGGUGAAUCAUAAUAACUGAGCGAACCGCAUGCGCGAGCGGCGGUGGUUCAUUCAAGUUUCUGCC
rnacentral:rRNA from 1 species